AUGCGGGAGUCUACAAGUCUACCGUGUCCAUACAGUGUCCUGUCCCAGGGGCAGCUGCAGGAGACUGGGCCUGGCCUGCUGAGGCCCUCGCAGACCCUGUCCCUCACCUGCUCAGUCUCUGGCUACUUCAUCAGCAGUGGGCACUCCUGGACCUGGAUCCGCCAGCCUCAAGGGAAGGGGAUGCAGUGGGUGGGGCGGAUUGACAGAGCUGGAGGCACAGUUUAUGAGCCGUCCCUGAAGAGCCGAGUCAGCAUCUCCAGAGACAUGCCCAAGAACCAGUUCUCCCUGCAGCCAAAUUCUGUGACAGCUGAGGACACGGCCUUGUAUUACUGUGCAAGAGACACAGUGGGAGAACAUUAG